rnacentral:tRNA from 1 species
GCACUUGUAGCUUAGUGGAUAGAGCGCUUGUUUCCUAACCUAAAGGUCGUAGGUUCGACCCCUACUUGGCGCA